rnacentral:rRNA from 1 species
UACGGAAGGCAGCAGGGGGAAUAUUGCACAAUGGGCGUAAGCCUGAUGCAGCCAUGCCGCGUGUAUGAAAAAGGCCUUCGGGUUGUAAAGUACUUUCAGUCGUGAGGAAGGUGUUAAGGUUAAUAACCUUAGCAAUUGACGUUAGCGACAGAAGAAGCACCGGCUAACUCCGUGCCAGCAGCCGCGGUAAUACGGAGGGUGCGAGCGUUAAUCGGAAUUACUGGGCGUAAAGGGCACGCAGGCGGUUAAUUAAGUUGGAUGUGAAAUCCCCGGGCUUAACCUGGGAAUGGCAUUCAAGACUGGUUAGCUAGAGUCUUGUAGAGGGGGUAGAAUUCCAUGUGUAGCGGUGAAAUGCGUAGAGAUGUGGAGGAAUACCGGUGGCGAAGGCGGCCCCUGGACAAAGACUGACGCUCAUGUGCGAAAGCGUGGGGAGCAAACAGGGAUUAGAUACC